CUAGGUGCCCAGCUGUGGUGGGUGACAGGCACUUUCCUGAGACGACUUCCUCUCCAUCUCACUGUGCGUGUUCUCUGUACAGUGCAAAUAAAUAGGUCACAGCCUCUGCUUCACUGUCCUCCUCUGGGGACGCACUGGAAUGGCGAUGGCCUCCUCUCCGCUCUCUGCUCAAAGUGCCACAGCUGAGCAUGGGCCCAUUCUCAGCUGACUUCUAGAACUUCAUGAUCUCUGCCAUGUGACAGAGGACAAACUCCAAG